rnacentral:lncRNA from 1 species
CCAGCCUCCCUUUCAGGUAUACCCACUUCAUCCAUGGCUGCUGGACAGCUGCAUUCUAGGACUCUCUGGAAAACAAGUUCUUUGGAGAUAACCUACCCUGAAGCUGGUAUUUUUGACAACCAUGUGGUUGAAUUUCUCCAAUGGAAACACCACCACCACCCAUCCUGCUCAUAUUGAUAUUCCUCGACUUCAGUCUAAGACAGAAGAUCUAAUUCGACCACAUCUUUACCUUGAAUUUUUGCAAAUUACUAUAGCAUUUUCUUCUAUCUCUGUCCCCCAGCUACUGAGGUGGCCAGCAUUUCUUCAGGAUCUCCUUUCUGGAUCUGGUGUUUAAAGUUUGAAGUAACAGACAGAAAACAGUGAAUAUGAGUUACAAAGAAGACAACCAAUAAUUACCAAGAAUUAAGCAAAACCAACAUAAAAAUGCCAGGCAACAACUUAGCAAGAGAACUGCAAACCGAAAGAUAGAGUGAGGUAAGAUGAGAGAAAGCUCUAAGAUAAGUAAGAUUGUGAGUCUUACAAAGAUUAUAUCCUGUUUAUGGAACAGGAAAAGGGUGACAAAAAUGAUGUCCAACAUAUGAAGACUUCAGACAUGAACAGUACAAGGGAUGGGCUUAGAUGAGCAGAGACUGCAUCAACCAAAAGAACAAGAGGAGGAUUGUCCCAGAUCACAAUAGAAUUUCAUUAUUAAUGGAGAUUUAAUAUAAUAAAGUGUUUCUAAAAUAAUUAU